UUCGUCUCUGACCACCGGCU
rnacentral:misc_RNA from 1 species